rnacentral:rRNA from 1 species
GUCGAGAAUCUUUCACAAUGGGGGCAACCCUGAUGGAGCGACGCCGCGUGGAGGAUAAGGUCUUCGGAUUGUAAACUCCUGUCAUGCGUGAACAAGGUUGCUUGGAUAAUACCUGAGCAAAUUGAUGGUAGCGCAAGAGGAAGAGACGGCUAACUCUGUGCCAGCAGCCGCGGUAAUACAGAGGUCUCAAGCGUUGUUCGGAAUCACUGGGCGUAAAGGGUGCGUAGGUGGCGUGGCAAGUCAGAUGGGAAAGCCCGGGGCUCAACCUCGGAACUGCAUCAGAUACUGCCAUGCUAGAGUACUGGAGGGGUGACUAGAAUUCUCGGUGUAGCAGUGAAAUGCGUAGAUAUCGAGAGGAAUACCAAAGGCGUAGGCAGGUCACUGGACAGUUACUGACACUGAGGCACGAAGGCCAGGGGAGCGAACGGGAUUAGAUACCCUAGUAGUCC